AGUCUCUUUAGAUACACUAACAGAUCCUGUUGAAAGAGAUUUUGUUUCUUGGCUUCUUCCAAAAGACAUCGAUGCUCGUCCCUCUGCAGAAGAAGCUCUCACGCAUCCGUAUUUAAAAUCAAUUGAUGAUCAAUUUCAUUUCUUGGUUGAAAUGGGAAAUGAACCGGAAAUAAAGGGUAAUACGGAUUGUUACGUAGUUGAAAAGUUGAAUGAUAUCCGACACAAAACAAGAAGAGAUUAUCCUAACGGAUGGAAGGAGAAGAUACAGCCAUCACAG
rnacentral:lncRNA from 1 species